CCUCUUCCACAGCUCCCCCUGCCUUUGGUAUACUGAGUCUCAUCUGAACUCCAGAUCUAUGUGCUUUAACCCAUAGAUUGAUGAGCACACCGUUACCCAUGGUCAGACAGCAGGAAGGGUGAUUCAUUCUCCUUCUCUACCCUCUGUGCCUGGUUAAUUCCUACUCAUUGCUCACAUCUCAACAUGAAAGUCAUGUCCCUCCAAAGGGAAGUUAUGUCAUCCCAGUCACCAUCUCAACUUGGCCACCCGCAUCCUGGAGCAGCCCUGAAGUGUUUGCUGACAUUUGAAGCCUGGUAAUAAUCAUCAUCCCCCAGCCAUGUUUCUGAAUCUUCAGGCAAAUUCUUGGCUGUCCCAUUUUCUGAGUCAGAUGUUCUAAUCAACUAAUUCAUUCUAAACAGCCUUGCUUCUGGAUAUAAAGAAGGAAGAAAAAAUAAACCUCUCUAAACUUUAGAGUCACAAAACUGCACUAGAAAAAGUCCCCAGUGGAAUCACUGGGUGGCCACAGAUUACAGAUUGAUAAAAAUCAAUAGAGUUGAGAUGUUUGUGCAUUUGGCAUGAAUCAAAUGAACCAAGAUUGAAGACAAAAAACAAAUUGCUCAUUCAAAACCUCUUAAGAGGGAUUUGUUUUGGUUUUGCUUUGGUCUUCAGCUGCUUUUUCACAGUACAUUUUAAAGCCCAGUAAACUAAGAAAAGCACAUUUUGCAUUGUAUUUAAAGUAAUCUCAGGAACAUAUAGAUUGAUUAACUAGGAUAUAGGUAUAUAAACCUUUAUAAAUAAGAGACUUCAAAUGGACUCAUUCUUUAAAAUUGUAUCUGCCUGAUUAACAGUAGCAAGUGCUUAUUGAGCACUGGUAAUGUGCAUAUAUACCUGUUCUCUAUGUAUUGUCUUGUUUAAUCUUCCACCCCACCUGAGACAGGUAGAGCCUGUAGGCAUAAGGUGAAUGGUACCACUUGCAGUUGCGUAACGUGGCAGCCCGAGGACAGGUUCAUUUUCUCUUUUUCUGAUGAGGGAGGGAGGUGUGGAGGCACACAAUGAUUCAGCACCUUGCCACCAACUCACACAGUUGAUGCAUGACACAGAUAGGACUCCAACAGGCUGAUUUAACUAAACCAGGGCUGUUACAUUACACUGUCCUUGCCCUCUGAUGCAAGAUACUAGAGCUCACUGUGGCAAGGAACAGUGUCAUCUCUGAGAUCAUUUCCUCUGUGUUCUAGCUGUCCCCUUUGGCUUCACUGUCCUUUUGCACUUCUCUUCCUCCCCAAAUCCCAUGCAUCCGUUAAGGUCCAUGGAAAAUGUCUAUAAAAAUCUCCCUGGACCCCUUCUUCCUGUAGUAGAAUUAACCACGUCAUCUCUUUGUCCCGAGUACAUUCUGUACCUGACUAUUUUCUAGUUUUCCAAGACAGAAUAGUGACAGCAUGCAAAAACAUCUAAUGAAUGCACUUCUAGAACUUAUAGCAGUUGUCUUAUUCCUUGAGACACAGAAGGAGCAUUUUCUCUUGCCCUUCUGCCCACCUGCCAUCCUCAUCUCUUAUUUUUUUUUUUACUCUUCUUUUAGACUCUACAGUUCAUACCCGGACUUACUAUAGUAUCUUCUGUAAUGAAGGGUUACCACCUGUUUUUCCCUUUCUCCUUAGGACUCUAAAUUUCUCAAGAGCAAUGAUGAAGUUUCAUUCACUUCUGUAUCCUCUUUCCUUGGCACCUGACACUUUCCCCAACUGACUUCUCAACAAAAUUCAAAGAAAUCUCUCUCUGGCCAACUAAAUUUGUCUACUGGAUGUGGAAUUCCAUGUCUUAGUUCAAGGAGAGAAAAGCUCUUAUCAACUGUAUCAAUCUAUAGGAUAUAAUUCAAAAUGUAUUUAUUGAAAUUAAGGUCAAAUGUUAUUGCAGGAAUAAAACAUUUAUUAGCCCACUUCAAAAUAGCUGCACAGAAUAUACAAAGCCCCACAUUUCAGCGCUUUCAUUUGUAUUGGAAUUGAAGAAAGGUUUCCAUUUCAGAAAGAAAACACCAUGAGUGUAAAUAAAAUGUACCAUCAUGUCUGUAUUGG
ensembl:lncRNA